CAUUAAGAAGCUAUACAGGACACAGCGACAGCCUUUUAAGCUGUAGAUAGGUGAUUUCCAACCACCCUUAAUGA
rnacentral:tRNA from 1 species